AUUGAACGCUGGCGGCAGGCCUAACACAUGCAAGUCGAGCGGAUGAGUGGAGCUUGCUCCAUGAUUCAGCGGCGGACGGGUGAGUAAUGCCUAGGAAUCUGCCCUGGUAGUGGGGGACAACGUUUCGAAAGGAACGCUAAUACCGCAUACGUCCUACGGGAGAAAGCAGGGGACCUUCGGGCCUUGCGUUAUCAGAUGAGCCUAGGUCGGAUUAGCUAGUAGGUGAGGUAAUGGCUCACCCUAGGCGACGAUCCGUAACUGGUCUGAGAGGAUGAUCAGUCACACUGGAACUGAGACACGGUCCAGACUCCUACGGGAGGCAGCAGUGGGAAUAUUGGACAA
rnacentral:rRNA from 1 species